CCAGCAGCCGCGGUAAUUCCAGCUCCAAUAGCGUAUAUUAAAGUUGUUGCAGUUAAAAAGCUCGUAGUUGGAUUUCUGGUAGGAGCGACCAUUCCGGACUUGAUUGUUCGUGUAUUGUGUUGCCUCCAGCCAUCCUUGUGGAGAACUUUUCUUGCAUUAAUUUGUAGGGAUUGGGACCCGCAUCGUUUACUGUGAAAAAAUUAGAGUGUUUAAAGCAGGCAAUCGCUUGAAUACAUUAGCAUGGAAUAAUAAGAUAGGACUUUGGUACUAUUUUGUUGGUUUGCAUACCAAAUUAAUGAUCAACAGGAACAGUUUGAGGAUAUUCGUAUGAACAUGUCAGAGGU
rnacentral:rRNA from 1 species